rnacentral:rRNA from 1 species
GACGAACGCUGGCGGCGUGCUUAACACAUGCAAGUCGAACGGAAAGGCCCCGCUUUUGUGGGGUGCUCGAGUGGCGAACGGGUGAGUAACACGUGAGUAACCUGCCCUUGACUUUGGGAUAACUUCAGGAAACUGGGGCUAAUACCGGAUAGGAGCUCCUGCUGCAUGGUGGGGGUUGGAAAGUUUCGGCGGUUGGGGAUGGACUCGCGGCUUAUCAGCUGGUUGGUGGGGUAGUGGCUUACCAAGGCUUUGACGGGUAGCCGGCCUGAGAGGGUGACCGGCCACAUUGGGACUGAGAUACGGCCCAGACUCCUACGGGAGGCAGCAGUGGGGAAUAUUGCACAAUGGGCGGAAGCCUGAUGCAGCAACGCCGCGUGCGGGAUGACGGCCUUCGGGUUGUAAACCGCUUUCGCCUGUGACGAAGCGUGAGUGACGGUAAUGGGUAAAGAAGCACCGGCUAACUACGUG